rnacentral:rRNA from 1 species
AGUCGAACGGCAGCACGGACUUCGGUCUGGUGGCGAGUGGCGAACGGGUGAGAAUAUCGGAACGUGCCUAGUAGCGGGGGAUAACUACAAAGCGUAGCUCAAUACCGCAUGGCCCUUCGGGGGAAAGCGGGGGACCUUCGGGCCUCGCACUAUUAGAGCGGCCGAUAUCGGAUUAGCUAGUUGGUGGGGUAACGGCUCACCAAGGCGACGAUCCGUAGCUGGUUUGAGAGGACGACCAGCCACACUGGGACUGGAGACACGGUCAGACUCACGGGAGGCAGCAGUGGGGAAUUUUGGACAAUGGGGGAAACCCCUGAUCCGUGCCAUCCUCCCGCGUGUGCGAUGAAGGCCUUCUUUGCCGGUAAAGCACUUUCGGCAGGAAAGAAAACGGCACGGGAUAAUACCCCGUGCAACUGACGGUACCUGCAGAAUAAGCACCGGCCAACUACGUCAGCAGCCGCGGUAAUAUGUAGGGUGCAAGCGUUAAUCGGAAUUACCGCGUAAGCGUGCGCAGGCGGUUCGGAAAGAAAGAUGUGAACCAGAGCUUAACUGGAACUGCAUUUUUAACUACCGAGCUUAGAUAAAGUGUGUCAGAGGGAGGUGGAAUUCCGCCAGCGUAGCAGUGAAAUGCGUAAAGAUAUGCAGAGGAACACCGAUGGCGAAGGCAGCCUCCUGGGAUAACACUGACGCUCAUGCACGAAAGCGUGGGGAGCAAACAGGAUUAGAUACCCUGGUAGUCCACGCCCUAAACGAUGUCAACUAGCUGUUGGGGCCUUCGGGCCUUCAAGCGCAGCUAACGCGUGAAGUUAACGCCUGGGAGUACGGUCGCAAGAUUAAAACUCAAAGGAAUUGACGGGACCCGCACAAGCGGAUGAUGUGGAUUAAUUCGAUGCAACGCGAAAACCUUACCUACCCUUGACAUGUCUGAAUCCCGAAGAGAUUUGGGAGCGUGCUCGCAAGAGAACCGGAACACAGGUGCUGCAUGGCUAUCGUCAGCUCGUGUCGAGAUGUUGGGUUAAGUCCCGCAACGAGCGCAACCCUUGUCAUUAGUUGCUACGAAAGGGCACUCUUAAUGAGACUGCCGGUGACAAACCGAGGAAGGAUGACGUCAAGUCCUCAUCUCUAUGUAGGCCUUCACACGUCAUACAAUGGUCGGGACAGAGGGUCGCCAACCCGCGAGGGGAGCCAGAUCCCAGAAACCUGAUCGUAGUCCGGAUCGCAGUCUGCAACUCGACUGCGUGAAGUCGGAAUCGCUAGUAAUCGCGGAUCAGCAUGUCGCGGUGAAUACGUUCCCGGGUCUUGUACACACCGCCCGUCACACCAUGGGAGUGGGUUUUACCAGAAGUAGUUAGCCUAACCGUAAGGAGUGGCGAUUACCACGGUAGGAUUCAUGACUGGGGUGGGAAAGCCGUAACAAGGUAA